AUUAUUAGAAUUGUCGUGGAUUGGUUACAAAAUCUUUAGGAUAUGUAUCCAAAUUGUCAAUAGAAAAAUUAUGUAAAAGUUGCUAAUAUACUGUUAUGUUUUUUUAUAAUAAGAAUUAAAAAUAUUCUUUUAUGUUAACAUAAAAAAAUUAAAACACCCUAACAUACUUAUUGUCAAUGUAGCAAACAAAUAUUUGUGCACAAAAAAUCAAUUUAAAAAAGAAAAUGAGAUAGAGCUGAGUGAUAUGAAGGAAGAAAUCACAGAGGAGAUGCUAAAAACGCUAUGGUGAAAGGUAUACAAAAUUCGAUAUAGCCGAGUAUAGCGCUCCUACUUGUUUUUUUGUCCUUAAAACAUAUUAUAUUUAAAACAUAUUAGUUUUAUAAAAUAUAGCAAACG